AACGAACGCUGGCGGCAAGCUUGACACAUGCAAGUCGAACGGAUCACUUUUGUAGCUUGCUACAAAAGUGGUUAGUGGCAGACGGGUGAGUAAUGCAUAGGAAUCUACCCAAUAGUAUAGGAUAGCCUUUGGAAACGAAGGGUAAUACUGUAUAAUCCCUGCGGGGGAAAGAUUUAUCGCUAAUGGAUGAGCCUAUGUUAGAUUAGCUAGUUGGUGGGGUAAUAGCCUACCAAGGCUACGAUCUAUAGCUGGUCUGAGAGGAUGAUCAGCCACACUGGAACUGAGACACGGUCCAGACUCCUACGGGAGGCAGCAGUGGGGAAUAUUGGACAAUGGGCGCAAGCCUGAUCCAGCUAUGCCGCGUGAGUGAAGAAGGCCUUAGGGUUGUAAAACUCUUUCAGCAGGGAAGAUAAUGACGGUACCUGC
rnacentral:rRNA from 1 species